UCACUUUACUUAGUAUGAAAUUUACAUAAGUUCACAUUUUAUCAUAGUAAAAUUGUUUAACUCUAAACUGCAAGGAAGUUCUGGUUAACAGUCCAAUCCUGAGUUGUCUAAUGGUCUUUUAGUUGCAUUAAACUUGUUAAACUGGUGCAAAUACUUAGUGUAGUUCUUAAAUUAUUUACCCCUUAAAUGGUUUCUAGCUUGUUUCAUAAUCCUAGUAAGGAUUGUUGCCAUUACUACAUCACUUUUACACUAAUAAUUUCUGCUUGUAUUAAAUGGAGAAAAUGCCUUUGGUUAAACUUUAUCAUUAAUAUGCAGACUAUCUUUUUGUCUCUGACAAACUAGGUAAAACUUUGCUGCAAUUUAGAUAAGGAAAAUAAGUAAUUUAGUUCUUUUAUGGCAAAGAAUGACAAUUUUGAGAAAUAGUAUUCUCUAAGGCACUCUAGGGAUGUAGUCCACUUUUGCACUCCUGACUUAUCUCCCAUUUUCUCUUCAGAUUGUAUCAAUGUUAAUACUUGUAAUAUUUGAAUUGGGAGCACUUGAAUGUGCUUGCCGUGAGUAUUUAAUAAAAUGAUAUCUGCAUAAUACAUAAAGUACCUCUAUGAGCAGCAGAAAUAACCAUAUUUGAGGAUCAGACCUGUGUCUGUUAUUCUGGUAUGUUGUAACACAAUUGUGCUAAGGCCAUGGAUUGCUUCUCUCUAGUCUUUGAAGUGUCUGCACAGGACAGUGAUGUCGUGAAUAUUCCUGGCUACAGAAGUAGUUCAGCAAUUACGUUUUAUUUGAUGCCAUAAAACGCAGUUAUAUGGUAUAACUCCAAUUAUGUCUAAGACAGCUGAGCUCGUACUGUGUGAGUUAAUAGUGGCUGUCCUGUCUACCUUUGUCUGCUGUCACAAGACACAUGGGAAACUAAUUUGUGUUCAUUGUUUCAUUGUUUCUUUAUUAGCCAGCAAGAUCAACAGUUCAUUGAGAAAGGGAAUGACUAAUGAUUGUGUAAGUCUAGUUACUUCAGAAAAUCAAGGUUUAAGAUGAUGUUCCGUCAGAAUCUAAAAUAUGUUUGCGCAGUGUUUUAUGGAGGGGGGGAAAAAAACCACAAAACCCACAAAUGCAUCAGUCCAUGUUUUACUUAAAUAGGUCAUUUAGUUCAAGCCAAAUAUAUAUAUAUGUAACUUUUUAAACUGAAAGUGAACUGUGAAAAAGUAUUUUAAAGUUUUUGCUCUGUUGGAUUGUGUUCAAGUACAGAAGGCCAUUGUGAAAUAAGGUAGAAUAGAUAAAUGGAAAUCGUGGUAGCUGUGUUUAUUUGCUGCCUUUCUGGAAACUCUUAGAGCCUUCAUGGUGUUUUAGUAAGCCUUUUGAAAUCGGGGCUUCCAUAAAGAUGCUGGUGCAGAACUGCACUGAGCUCUUUCUACCUGUCUUCAAACUGCGAGUGAAUUAGCAUACUUGAUUUAAAAUGAGCUGAAUCCUGUGAUUCCUUCAUAUGUAGAACUACUAGCAACCUAAGUAGGGUAACUUACAGAAUUGAGUGAGGAAUCUGCCUCAGAUGGGUUUGUGUGUUUAUAAUUUAGAAAUUCAAAGUACGGUUCAAACUAAUUAUUAAAGCAUACUUUAUCUGCAGGGUUUUUCAGUUGUUUUGUGCCAAAGACAGAUGUGCAUAAAAAUUUGAGGAAAAUGCAUCUUGUGUUACUGCAGAAUUGCAUGUUCAUUUAGGCUGUCCUGGACUGUGGCAACCCGGAUGGAGGGCCUGCCCCGAACUGUGGCUGUUCAGGUCUCUGGCUGCAGGGAGUGCCAGAGCCUGCUCCUGCUGGGGGAGGGAGGCAGGUAUCCCACCUGUGUGAGGUGUGAGCAGGUGCAAGUUCAGCUCAGCAUGGUGGUGGAACUUCAGGAGGAAGUUGAGAGACUGAGGACCAUCAGGGAGUGUGAGAAGGAGAUUGACCGGUGGAGUAACUCCAUGGCAUGCUAGUCAUAAAGGCUGCAGGGGGAUACCCCAAAAGGUGAUGGACCCUCUGCCCUGUCAGGCAGAGGGGAGAGACCUGGGACAGCCCAUGCCAUGUCACUGUCAGGCAGAGGUAGGGGACCAGAUAGAUGAGGAGGGUUGGAAGCAAGUUCCAGUUUGGUGUCAUGGGCAACCCCUCCUCCCUACCUGCUUUGCUCCCACAUGUGCCUCCCUGUAGUAGGUUUGAGGCCCUGGAUCUUGGAGAGGUAGGUGAGGAUGUGGUGCAAGGCCCACCUACGAGGUCACGUAGGAAGAGAUGGUUGACUCCAUAACUCAAGACUACCUCUGAUAAGAAAGGAAGGAAAUUGUAGUAGGCAGUUCCCUUCUGAGAUGGACAGAGGGCCCAAUAUGCAGAGUUGGCCCUUGUCACAGGAAAGAGUGUAGUCUACCUGGAGCCCAGACCAGGGAUAUCACCAGGACACUCCCCAACCUGGUGCACUUGAGGUGCUACUACCCACUGCUGAUCUUCCAGACAAGUGGGGAAGAAGCUGCAUCCCAUAGUCUGAGGGGAGUGAAGGAAGAUUUAAAGGCCUUGGGAUGGUUGGUGAAAGAGUCUGGGGCGCAAGUUAUUUUCUCUUCCCUCCUUCCAUUUUUGGGUGCUGACGUGGAAUGGAAUAGAAGAAUUCGGUCCAUAAAUGAUUGGCUGCAAGACUGGUGCUAGGAGCAGGGCUUUGUAUUCUUUGAAAACGGCUGGUUUUAUAAGAUACCAAUCCAGACAGUGAUGUGUGACAAAGGUUUAUCUCACAGGGGCAAAAGGAUGCUGGGACAGGAAUUAGCAGGGCUCAUUUGGAGAGCUUUAAAUUAGAUUCAAAGGGGGAUGAAGUUGUAGCUGGGCUUGCACCAGUGGGGCAGCACUCUAGAGUUGAUGAAGACUGGGAGGCCUCCCAUUCCCCUAGGGUGAAAUCAGUGUGCUCAGCUCGCUCCCUGAAAUGCCUGUACACCAAUGCACGCAGCAUGGGGAAUGAGCAGGAGGAGUUAGAAACCUGUAUUCGGACAGGAGAUUAUGACCUGGUGGCAAUUACAGAGGCAUGGUGGGACAGCUCACAGGACUGGAAUGUGGUCAUGGAUGGCUGUGUCCUUUUCAGGAAAGAGAGGCCAGCCAGGUGUGGUGGUGGAGUUGCUCUUUAAGUGAGAGAGCAACUACAAUGUAUUGAGUACUGUCCAGGGGCAGAUGAGGAGGGAGGUGAGAGUCUAUGGGUGAGAAUUAAGGGGCAGGCUGGCAGGGGUGAUUUUGUUGUGGGUGUCUAUUACAGGCCACCAGAUCAGGGUGAGGAAGUUGAUGAGGCCUUCUACAGGCAGCUGAGAGUGGCCUCACAGUCACAGGCCCUGGUUGUUGUGGGGGAUUUUAACUUCCCUGAUGUUUGCUGGAAGGACUACUCAGCUAGCCAGCCACAGUCCAGGAGGUUCCUCCAGUGCCUUGACAAUAACUUUCUGAUACAAAUGGUGGAGGAGCUGACUAGGAGAGGUGCACUGCUGGAUCUCAUCCUCACUAACAAGGAGGGUCUGGUUGAAGCAGUAAAGGUUGAGGGCUGCCUGGGUUGCAGCAACCAUGAGAUGGUGGAGUUCAGGAUCUUGUGUGGCAGGAACAGAGUAGCAAGCAGAAUUGCAAGCCUGGACUUCUGCAGGGCAAACUUCAGCCUUUUCAAACAAUUGCUAAGGGAAAUCCUGUGGGCAAGGCUGCUUGAAGGUAAAGGGACUAGUUGGUUAAUGUUCAGGAACUGUUUCUAUCAGGCACAAGAUCAGAGCAUCCUGACAAGUAGAAAGUCAAGGAAGGGAACCAGGAGACCUGCGUGGUUAAACAGGGAGCUGCUGGGUAAGCUCAAGUGGAAGAGGAGAGUUUAUAGAUUGUGGAAGGAGAGGCUGGCCACUUGGGAAGAAUAUAAGGCUGUUGUCAGAGGGUGUAGGGAGGCAACUAGGAAAGCUAAGGGCUCCUUAGAAUUAAACCUGGCGAGAGGGGUCAAGGACAACAGGAAGAGCUUUUUCAAAUACGUGGCAGGUGAAACUAACACCAGAGGCAAUGCAGGCCCACUGAUGAAUGAGGUGGGUGCCCUGGUGACAGAAGACACAGAGAAGACAGAGUUACUGAACGCCUUCUUUGUCUCUGUCUACUCUGCCAGAAGCUGUCCUGAGGAGCCCCGUACUGCUGAGGCCCCAGAGGAAGGCAGGACAAUGGAGGAGUUUGCCUCAGUUGAUGGGGACUGGGUUAGGGAGCAGUUAGGCAAUCUGGACAUCCAUAAAUCCAUGGGUCCGGAUGGGAUGCACCCACAGGUGCUGAGGGAGCUGGCUGAGGUCAUUGCUGGACCACUCUCCAUCAUCUUUGCCAAGCCCUGGGAAGCAGGAGAGGUGCCUGAGGACUGGAGAAAAGCAGAUGUCACUCCAGUCUUCAAAAAGGGCAAGAAGGAGGACCUGGGUAACUAUAGACUGGUCAGCCUCACCUCCAUCCCUGGGAAACUGAUGGAACAACUUAACCUUGGUGCCCUCUCAGGGCAUAUCAAGGAUAAGAAGGUCAUUAGGGGCAGUCAGCAUGUCUUCACCAAGGGGAAGUUGUGCUUGACCAACCUCAUUGACUUUUAUGAGGACAUAACAAGGUGGAUAGAUGAUGGCAGAGCAGUGGAUGUGGUCUACCUUGACUUCAGUAAAGCAUUUGACACAGUGUCCCACAGCAUUCUUACAGCUAAACUGAGGAAGUGCAGUCUGGAUGAUCAGGUAGUGAGGUGGACUGUGAACUGGCUGAAGGGAAGAAGCCAGAGAGUUGUGGUCAAUGGGGCGGAGUCUGGUUGGAGGCCUGUAUCUAGUGGAGUGCCUUAAGGGUCAGUACUGGGGCCAGUACUAUUCAGUAUAUUCAUCAAUGACUUGGAUGAGGGAAUAGAGUGCACUAUCAGCAAGUUUGCUGAUGACACCAAGCUGGGAGGAGUGGCUGACACGCCAGAAGGCUGUGCUGCCAUCCAGUGAGACCUGGACAGGCUGGAGAGUUGGGUGGGGAAAAAUUUAAUUAAAUAUAACAAGAGCAAGUGUAGAGUCUUGCAUCUGGGCAGAAACCACCCCAGGUUCCAGUAUAAGCUGGGGAACAACCUAUUAGAGAGCAGUGUAGGGGAAAGGGACCUGGGGGUCCUGGUGGACAGCAGGAUGACCAUGAGCCAGCACUGGGCCCUUGUGGCCAGGAAGGCCAAUGGCAUCCUGGGGCGUAUUAGAAAGGGGCUGGAUAGUAGAUUGAGAGAGGUUCUCCUUCCCCUCUACUCUGCCCUGGUGAGACGACAUCUGGAAUAUUGUAUCCAAUUCUGGGCCCCUCAGUUCCAGAAGGACAGGGAACUGCUGGAGAGAGUCCAGCACAGGGCAACAAAGAUGAUGAAGGGCAUGGAGCAUCUCCCUUAUGAAGAAAGGCUGAGGGAGCUGGGUCUCUUUAGCUUGGAGGAGACUGAGGGGUGACCACAUUAAUGUCUAUAAAUAUAUAAAGGGUGAGUGUCAAGAGGGUGGAGCCAGGCUCUUUUCAGUGGCAAACAAUGGUAGGACAAGGGGUAAUGAGUUCAAACUGGAACACAAGAGCUUCCACUUAAAUUUGAGAAGAAAAUUCUCAGUGAGGGUGACAGAACACUGGAACAGGCUGCCCAGGGAGGUUGUGGAGUCUCCUUCUCUGGAGAGAUUAAAAACCCACCUGGACACAUUCCUGUGUAGCCUUAUCUAGGUGUUCCUGCUUCAGAGGGGAGAUUGGACUAGAUGAUCUUUCGAGGUCCCUUCCAAUCCCUAACAUUCUGUGAUUCUAUGGACUGGGUUAUCCAGAACAGGAGUCCCUUGCACUGCGCACGUUCUGAUGUUGAGUAUCUCAGUGGCACUCAGGUUCCGGCAACUCAUGACCAUGAUUAAUGCUUCUAGGUACUGCAAAUGUCUUGCAUACUUAAAGAUGGGACAUAACCCAUGUCUGUGUUGGAGCCCUUACACCAGCACGGCACUGUAAGUAAGCUGGUGUGUACACAGCUUUUGUGGCAUAGCUUUACUAUUUUAACCACACUAUCCUGUAGUGAUACAAGUAAUGAUUGUAUAACUGCACUUUGGGCUUAUACCAGCGUAGCUGUGUCAGUUACACUUCUUUGUGCUCAUCACUGACACUAAGAUUUUGUCAGAAAUUAUUCAGACAGACACUAGAAUUAAAGUUUCAAAAUUCUUUCAAGUUGUCCUCAGGCAGUGCCAAGAAGCAGAGUCACAUUCCUCCUUGCACCCUGCUUUCCUCUUCCCAGUUUUGUGCUCCUCUUAUUUGCAAUGUUUGUGAUGAAUCAGAUCAGGGAGUUGGGUUAAAAUGAAAAAACUUUCUUUCUAAGAUAUUUUAAAGUCAGAUGUUUGCUCUGCAGUUGUGUGAACACUUGCACAAAAUCCUACCCCUUCCUUUACAUUAGUUGUACCAGGACCAGGAGGAAAGUAGGACUGUGGCAGCUGUUAGACUGGCUUAAGUUGCCAUGAAAGUACAGGCUCUUACAUUUUUUGGUAGAGUGGUGUUUUAACAGCUAAACAUUAGCAAGAAUAGGUAUUUAUAUACCUUGGUGAUGCUCUGGGCUAAGUCUUGCAAAAUGAAGACUUUUAAAAUACUUGGGAUAUUUUGUGCUCUGUCAGGAAAAACAAGCAACCUCUCAGUAUUGUGUUUGUACAUAAACGCGUAAUAAUACAGAAUUUUAAGGUUGGCACAGGUUUAGUCUCGCAGACAUUUUUUAUCAAGAUGCAUUUAAGAGGUAAAACUAUUAAAAAUAAGAAAAUACUAGUCUGAGUGUAUUACCAGUACUGCAGAAUUCACGGUAUUCGUAUUUGUAGCUCCUUAGGUAUACUAAAAUACGAGUUAUGUGUUAGUAACAUAGUAUAUUGAUCACUAAAUGAAAAAAAUAGUACACAAAAAUAAUCUUGCACUUUUUAACUGAAAUAGGCGUUACUCUAGGAGUAGGUGUGAAUACAGUGAGAUUAAAUAGAAUGUGGAAGAACUUCAAGACUGAAAUUGAGAGUAGGGUCAAAGAACGUGGGAGCAUUUUAAGAAAAUGCGUUUCUUAGUAGUGAACGUUUCUUAUCUAGGAAAACUGCUCUUGAAUGUGCUUUAUUUUCCUCUCUUCUCCUUGCCCUGCCCCAAACAUUUGUUGCACAGAUGAGUGCUGCUCUGUGCUUUGAAGGUCAGCAAGAGCUCUGAGUAUGCAAAUGUGAUCUGCUCAUCUCAACUGGUAGUGCAGUGUGGAUGCUUCAUAGCCAUGACUGUGGCGGUGAUGUGACAUUUCUGCUUCUCAGUAGUAACAAGCUUCAGUUUUUUAGGGCUCUGGAGAUGUGCUUGAUUAUUUUCUUUCAAUCUGGAGUGAGUCUGAAGGAAAACUUGUGAAGUAUCAAGCUAUUCCCUCUUGCUUUGGUAGCUUUUUGUGACUGGAGAAAAAAAAAUAAAUGUUUUUACAAACCUCAAUAUUUUUGAAGUUGAAUUUGCUGGUUUGCUGCAGGACAGUGUCCUGCACUUUGCUUCCUAAUAGGAUAAAUCCUGCCUUUUUGCUGUUUUCCUGUUUCUUGCAGAAGGCUGGGCUAAGCAGAUACAACCAGCUUAUUCUGAGCUACUCUCUGGUAGCAAAAGGUUGAGAAAGUAGUGCAUUAGUUUGAACAGAAAUAAGGCCAUGGAGAUAAGAGGAGAGGCUGGUAGUUGACUUCUUAGGCUGGAGCCUAGGAGAUGAGCUUUGUUAGAAUCCUCCCUUUCUGGCAUGCCAGUGAUAUGGAGAGAGCUGAAUCAUUUGGACUAAGUUGAGAGAGUUAACGGUAUCAUAGCAAAAGAGUAUAAGAAAAUAACGUGGCGAUUACGGCAAAACAAAAUUACUUUGAAUAUUUAUCCACAAAUUUGCAAGGGGUUGGUAAAUGGGAUAAGAAUGAGUUUGGUUUUGCUUUUAAGUCAUUAAUUUAAAUAAUUGUUUAAUGGUGUAAGUUCUGCUACUGAAAGGUUGAAGUUUUCUGCCUAACGCUUAUGUUGACUCAGAAUACUCAUGGCCUUUUGCAAAAAUAGCAUUAUGGAUUUCAUUAUAAUAGUCAAUCAGAUGAUCUUUUUCUAUUACUCUCUUGAGAUAUGUUUAUGCCAGAUUUUGGUGUAGAGUAGGACUGUUGUGGUAGAAUAUAAAAUGGAGGGAGGGUAAAAAGUAUUUAUGAGAUACUAAUAACUACCAUAGAUCAAUUCUGUGAGCAUGGCUUCAGAGUAGGGUGAAGUUACUUAUAUCUUAGUUUGGCUUAUUAAAUAUUAUAUUGGUUCUUAAAGCAUCAGUAUAAAAUAUUUGGAUGUUCAAAAGUACCUACUUUACAUUUGUAACUUGUACCUAUAUUAAAGAAGUAACUAAAUUUUGAUUAGAUUUUAGGUAAGUUAAAAAGUGUUUACUUCUAAUUUACCUCAUAGAGGAAUUAAGCAAUAAUUUUAAAAUUCUGUCUGAAAGAAAGAUAAAAAGGCACUUUUAUGUUGGUGCAAUUGGGAAAUAAUUAGUGAUAGAAAACCUUUGUUUUAUAUGCACACCUUCCCUUGCAAGCUAGUGGAUGUUGUCAUUGGUUGAGAAAAUUCUGGAGAUAUUUUUCAAAUUUACUCCUUAGUCUUUGCUGAAAUCUUGGCAUGUACUUUCUCUAACAUUUCUGUCACUUAAAACUUUUCCUUAAUAUGUAAGUUGCUAGUCUUAAAGCACUGAAUGGUUACAGAUUUUUAAUACUUAGCUGCUUUUAUUGCAACUAGGCUUGUUCAUCUAUACAACUGUGUGUCUUUUCAGGUUAGGGUUUUUCUGUUGUGUGUGUGGUUUUCUUUAUAUAUACACAUAUAUUUCUUUAGUUUUCUGAGUCACUUUAUGUAAAAACAAUGUAAAGAAAUGGAAGAUAGUAGUACUUUGGCUCAUGUAAAGUAUAUUCCCCUAAACAUGGAGGAAAAUCACAUUACAGGACCUAUAAAAUCACAAAUGCAAAUAGUGAGUUGCUGUAUGAAAUAGCAGGGUUUUGUUUUUUAUGCCCGGAAUUAUUUGGAAGUAACCAUUGGGUUUUAAAUUCCAAACCUAAUCCUGUUUAAAGUAGGAGGUUUUUUUGUUUGCUUGGAGAAGGGCAGGUGUGUGGUGGUCUUUUGGUUUUAUGAAUCCUUACUUACCAUCUCAGCAUUAAUACCCAGAUACAUUUGGUACGAACUUUGCAUGUGAUAUCUGAAUAUGUAAGGUGAGACAGCUACACUUGGAACAUACAAGUAAUAAUUUAUUUUUACAUUGUUAUGUUAUUUUUAAGAAAGAAAAAACUUCUUCAGUGAGGGUGCCAGAGCACUGGAACAGGCUGCCCAGGGAGGUUGUGGAGUCUCCUGCUCUGGAGACAUUCAAAACCCACCUGGACAUGUUCCUGUGUAACCUCAUCUAGGUGUUUCUGCUCUGGUGGGGGGAUGGGACUAGAUGAUCUCUCAAGGUCCCUUCCAAUCCUUAACAUUCUGUGAUUCUGUGAAUUGAAACUAUUAAUAUGGAUAAUAAACAUUAUUUAUUUUCCUUUGUUGUUCCGGCCACAACAGUUCAAAACAUAGUAUGUAUGGUAAUGGAUGCAUAGUGGAGAAUUUCAUGGAAUCAUAGAAUAGUUUGGGUUGGAAGGGACCUUCAAGGGUCAUCUAGUCAUAAUCCCCCUUCAGUGAGCAGGGACACGUGCAACUAGAUCGUGUUGCUUAGAGCCCUGUCAGCCUGGCCUUGGAUGAGGAAUGUGGCUUUUUACAUUUCUUUAGACCAAUUUUCUUAUGCAGACAUCAAAGGUCUAAUGUUAAGAUAAUAUCAUGGGGGAGUAAGUAGAGCUGUCUGGUUCUAGAAUAACUUCACUCAAAAUUUCUUUGUAUGCCGUCAUCAUCCAGUAUUAAAUUUAUGAUGUGUUUUGUGGCCAUGACUGACUUUAGAAGUGUGGGGAACCAGGGGUAGGGGGCAUUUUUUUUCCCUUCCACUGCGGUUUCAACAUAGAUGUCAAAAACUCCUGACCAUGUAAUUAAUUAAAAAAACAAAACAAAACAAAACAAAAAAAAAACAAAACAAAAACAAAAAAACACCCCAUCUUACUGCUGCAUUUUUUGUUAAACCUGCCAAUAUCUAUCCAUACAUUGCCAACUCUGAUAAUAGGAGUACUGGAGGUUUACUUUUUUCUGAUAGCCUACUUAUCAAAAUAACUGUAGAAUUUAGAGGCUUUUCGUAAAGCCUAGAAACUUGAAAUGCAUUUGUAAUUCCUACUGAAAAAAAAAGUCAUAUAAUCUAUCUUCAGUCUUCAGGAAGCAGACUUACCUCAAGAUUGAACUUGGAACAUAUAAUUUAAUUUUUUACUAAAUGUAGUAAAUAAUAUUUUGUAUAUGGGAAACAAAUGUUUAGAAGAAAAGUGCAAUUCUUAUCAUCUUAACAUUCUCCUAUGAUGUUGAUAUGUUUUGUCUUGGCUCUGUUUUUGCUUUUUAUCUUCUCUGAAGGAAAACUUUAAUUUUUAGAAGUGGAGGGUAGUGGACUAGUGAAGAGGGUAACAAGCUAUGAAUAACAUAAAUAAGAGUUUUUAAAAGGCAGAUUGGAGAGGAGGAGAUGCCAUGGAAGGCUCAGGAGAAAGGGUGGAUUAACUGCAGGAGGAAGGCAGGGCACUCUGAUGAGGGACUCCUUGUUAGGGCCUGGAGACCAUGGUGAAUGCAAAGAAGAGCUUGUUUAGAAGUGGAGAAGAUGUGUGUGAUAGUCUUCACAGUGGCAGAACUUACACUCCAACAGAAACUUUGAAGAGUAUCUUUCUAUACAAGGAAGAUACUCAGAUAUAAAACUAUACAGUGUAAUUCUGGAUUAUUUUUUUUUUUAAAGAGGAGGCAGGCAAAGACAAGUCAAAAUACUAUCGAUCAAUAGCUACUGUGAUAAAUGUGGUUGAGUGUUCAGUCUUCAGGAGAUGCUCACAGAAUGGCUCUUCAUGAAGGAUUGAUUCCUUUGGGUUUCUUUUUAGAGAUAAGGCUUUUGUAAUGGAUGAAAGUGCCUUGUAUGAAUCCUCCCCACCUUUUCUGCCUCAUGCGUGCUUGGGUUUAAUCUCUACAAGGCAGAAUAAAAUUGUGUAAGCAUGACUAUAGCAAUGCAUGAGGAGCCUUGGCAGUUCUUAUGGUCUAAAAGAUGACAAAUGUGUUGACUAGAGCCCCAGUGUGAAACAGUGAAUGCAUUUAAAAAGAAAAAAGGCUAUGCGUAAUCUGAGUAGAAUAUGAAGAAAUACAGAUGAGGGAAUGACAUUAUGCAUUGCAUAAUAUCAGGGGUGUUAAUGUAACCACUCAUUUCUCUUAUGUUUUUGUCAGUAUUGGUCAAAAUAAUUUUCAGAUGUGAUGAUGGAAGUUCUGCUGGGUGUAGUGUUUGGGUUGUAGAUUCCUAGAAAGGAAUUUUGGUGUCAAUGGAGUGUUUCACAUUGGUGAGAAAUGCUGGUGGGAAUUGUAUUGUUACAGAAUUUACCUUCGUUGAGAUUAUGGAAAUAAAUGCUGUUAGUGAUGGCAUGGCUCAGAUAUUUCAGGAGUUGCUAGUCCAGUGAUUCAGUUACCAAAUUGUUACUGAGUCAACAGGAGGUGAUGCUACUUCAGACUUGAUAUGGAAGCGUAAUGAGGUGUUUGUAGAAUAAUUGCUUCUGGAAAAUCAACUUGUGUUGUUAGAUCAGAAGUUGAUUCAUAAACUCUGUGCUAAAAUCAUUAGUGUCAGAGGUACAUUUUUGGAGAACUGUGCUCUUGGUAACAUUAUAGAGACAGAUGAUUAUGGUGGAGGCCAGGGAUUUAUUCUGUUAGAGCUGCUAAAUUAAGUAAUUUUAUUCUGUGUGAUCCUCAUCAAGGGGAAGUAUUAUAGGAAAACACUCCAGAUUUAAUAGGAUGAAUAAUCACUUCAGCACAGUUAAAUACUAGUUAUUACUCUAGGGAUGAAGCAAAAAGCAAGAACUGGCAAGGUCAAGCUGACAUACACCUCAAAAGGUCUAUCAGAAUACCAUGAAAAAAGUUGUUCAGCUGUGUAAAUAAAAAAUGCAUUUCUUAUAUGUGGAACAUGUAGAAUUUAAGCCUGAACUCAGAAUUAGAUUAAUCCUUACACUGAACCAGUGUAAAAUAGCCUGCCAUUUUUCCUUAAGGUUCUGUCCAAAGAAGAUGGGGGUGUGGAGGCAACUAUAGCUGUAGUUGUGAAAACAGUCACCUCAUGUGGGGGACCAGGAUCCAUUGACUCUUGGAAGAAACUGGGCUUAGCAAUAGUGUGCUUGUUGGUUUUUUAAUAAGUGUAUGACGUUGGGAAGGAUUUGUUGUGGAAGAAUGGCUAGUGUGGUACUAAUUGCAGUGGAAUAUGAAGGCGAAUAUGCAGGCUGCACACACAGCAGUGUGUAGGGCACUAAAGAAAAGUGAAAUGCUGAGUAGAAAAUCAAGCAAGUUGCAGCAUGGGUUAACCGUAGACCGUAUCAUUGAAAUUCAUCCUUCUUGCAGGGCUUCAGUCCUCAGAGUGGAAAGCUACAGGUUUACUUGUGAGGAACAACUUCUGUUGUCACCUGGAAGCUUACCAGAUGAAGUUGAGAGGAGCUUACUAGUUGACAGAGGGAGAGCAGGAGAACCUGAAUAGACCUGAGAAUGACUACCUGAGCAGGUAGUUUUAGUGACUCCUUAACUGUAGUGGUUAUUUAAACCAGUGUGCUGCUUUGUGAGCUCAGAGGCGAUGCACAUGGGCAGAACCUCUGAGGAAGCACGGUGCAGCCACUGAAGGGGAAAAAACUGCCCUGGGAAGCCUUGCUGGGACUCCAUCCCUUGAUCUGAGCCUUGUGUCACCCUGCCGCAGAAGAAGGCAAGUUUGAUCUUGGAUUAUGCUGGUUGUGGUGUAUUUUCAGUGAGUGCAAUGGUGUUCCUGGCACAUGCAGGUCAUGGAGUGUAGAGCUGAGAAAUUCUUAAAAAAUCAGUAUGGGGAGAUGAAAAUCUUAACUUGUUUAUAGCAAAAUUAAAGCCAAAAAGGGAAAUUGGUAUAAAUACCACAUAUAUUUGAGGGUAAUAAAUCCUAGAUAUACAAAGAAAGUUGUUGAAGCUGGGGAACCAUGCUGUCACAGGUGGGCAUAAAUAGAUUAUAAAUUUACCUAAAUUGUAGUUUAGAAAGCUUUUAACAAUUGUGAUGUUGUGGAAUGAGCUACCAGUUGGAAUAGUGAGAGCAAAAAACUUAAAAAGGAGGGUUGGAAAGUUUAUAAGAGGAAAGUGUUGCCUGUGAUUGAUUUGGGUUCAGAGAGGGGGUUUCUUACGGUGCCUGCCUAUUGGGGAGGGCUGUCUUGCUGGAACAGUCUGAUCUUCUGCUGCUCAGUAUUAUGGAAACAAAGCUUUGAAAGAGAACUGUUCCAUUUGCGCUCUAAUCAGGCAAAUUAUUUUCUUUCCUACUACUUUUCAUAUAAAUUUAAAAUACAUUUAAAAACAUAAUUUCAUCAGUUCUAUUAAUAGAACUUCCUUUCUCUGAUGCCUUAGCUAGGGUCAUGAAAGACAACACAAGAUCUGAUGCUGGGCUAAAGACAAAAGAUACUUUAUAGUUAUGAAUUUGUAAAACAGAACCAUUACUGAAUACUGGCUUUUGAUAUUUGAAGGUGCAUGGUGCAUUCUUAAUUUGUAGUGUGGUUGAAUCUUUGUUUCUCAGUGCAGUACUUGACUUCAUGCGUGCAGUUGCAGGUGCCGCCUCAUUUGUGUGGGUUGAAGGGCUUUUACCCAGAUUUUAAAGGGAAAUGCGUGUAUCAAUGUAAAAAGCUCCUGGGUCACCAUAGAAUUAAUUUAGUGAAACUUUUAAUUAGGGUAUUUCACAUGGUGAAACUUUUACUUAAACUGUUUUUGCUUUCUAUCUGUGAGCAUCUCUGGUCAGAAGAGCACCCUCUUCAGUGGGUGGAACUGAAUCUAUAGAACAUUUACAGGAAGGAAAUAGAGAUAAUCUCACAGCUGUUCUUCAGGGAAGAACUUAACUGUUCACAUCAUUGAUAGAUCCAAGAACCAGUUGAUGGAAACCAUCAGCUUUAUCUGACUUAAAUCUUCUCUCAUAGCUGUCAGCAACUGGGUUUACUCUGAGAGAGAAGCACAGCUACAUGGGGCUUUUUGGUAUAGAACUAGUUGUAACAAUUUAAAAAUACUGGAGAAAAUUAUGAGGCUUUGAAAAACAAAAAAAAACCCACAACUGAAAUGCAGGAUUCAAGAAAUCUGUGUUGCAGUCAGUGAGUAUGGCAUACAGAAGUAGCAGAAUGGACAAACGUGUAGUAACUUCAUGGUAUGUCUUUUUAAAAGGAGAUUCUGCUUUGUUUCCCAAAAAAAAGUUACUGGCUGGAGGAUUUGAAUGAAUUUUACUAAUGUUGCUCUCGGGACUUGGAAAGCAAAUUCAAUGGAACAAGUGGCUCUGGCUAAACGCUCCUGAGAAUCUGUUUCUGGAUAACAUAUGGGGUUUUUAGUAUCAAAAUACAGUGUUUUGUAGGCAAGUUGAUAUGGGGUGUGAAAAUGCUGAGGAGGUGACAAUUAAAUCCAAGUUAUAAAUAAAUUGUACCUUACGCCUAAAUAUUUAAGAUAAACGUGAUCUUAAACAAGACUACAGUAUUCUGUUUAGAUCAUCAUGUUGUUAAAAAUAGUGAGUGAUCCAUUUGGGGAAGUCUUUCUGUGUUCUAGUGAAAGUGACGAUCAUGUCUGCUAUUAAUUAAACUGUUCUAAACAAGAAAAAAAAAAUGUGUAACUCAGUCAAUUUAGUUUUAUAGUUUAAGAUAUGUAGAACUAAUACCUGAAUUGAAAGAUCAUGGUCUUUUAAAAUGUAAUCAACUUUAAAAUAUCCUUUAGGUAUUAUAUUGCUGGGUUGCUUUGCUUAUUUUAGUGAUAGUAUAAUAUUAUUUAAAUUUCUAAUGCUUUGCAAAAAGUCUAUUUUUAAUGAAGUAAAAUUCCAGCUGGAAGACAGCUAUUCACGUUAGGUUAGUAUAUUUAAAAAAAUAUAUUUAUAUAUAUUUUUUAAAACUACUAUUCUAAAAAUAUAAAAUACCAUCUUUUUGGGGAAAAUUGUAUGUCAAAUGUUUACUCAUGACUCUUUGUUUCUCUGUUUAUU